rnacentral:rRNA from 1 species
GACGAACGCUGGCGGCGUGCCUAAUACAUGCAAGUAGAACGCUGAAGAGAGGAGCUUACUCUUCUUGGAUGAGUUGCGAACGGGUGAGUAACGCGUAGGUAACCUGCCUUGUAGCGGGGGAUAACUACUGGAAACGAUAGCUAAUACCGCAUAACAAUGGAUGACACAUGUCAUUUAUUUGAAAGGGGCAAUUGCUCCACUACAAGAUGGACCUGCGUUGUAUUAGCUAGUAGGUGAGGUAAUGGCCUACCUAGGCGACGGUACAUAGCCGACCCGGGAGGGUGGUCGGCCACACUGGGACUGAGACACGGCCCAGGCUCCUACGGGAGGCAGCAGUAGGGAAUCUUCGGCAAAGGGGGCAACGCUGACCGAGCAACGCCGCGGGAGUGAAGAAGGUUUUCGGAUCGUAAAGCUCUGUUGUAAGUCAAGAACGGGUGUGAGAGUGGAAAGUUCACGCUGUGACGGUAGCUUACCAGAAAGGGACGGCUAACUACAUG